AACGCACGAGACCUGCGGACCUGCGGAGGGAUCAUCAUUGAGAUAAUUACACUAACGGUUUGACUCGAGGCUCGUAGCUGCCACGUCUAUGUUGCGUUAACACGCGCAUUUACGCGGCUGGUGCCUGCAUCGUCUCAUUCCUCAUACAAAUCCAUUUUCUUCUGAUACAUUUUUUAAAUAAAAAAUACAACUUUCAACAACGGAUCUCU
rnacentral:misc_RNA from 1 species